rnacentral:rRNA from 1 species
UAAGGAAUAUUGGACAAUGGAGGCAACUCUGAUCCAGCCAUGCCGCGUGAAGGAAUAAGGCCCUAUGGGUUGUAAACUUCUUUUAGACGGGACAAAACCCCUUUACGUGUAAAGGGUUGAUGGUACUGUCAGAAUAAGCAUCGGCUAACUUCGUGCCAGCAGCCGCGGUAAUACGAAGGAUGCAAGCGUUAUCCGGAAUUAUUGGGUUUAAAGGGUGCGUAGGCGGACUAAUAAGUCAGUGGUGAAAGCCUGCAGCUUAACUGCAGAAUUGCCAUUGAUACUGCUAGACUUGAGUACAGUUGAGGUAGGCGGAAUGUGUCAUGUAGCGGUGAAAUGCUUAGAUAUGACACAGAACACCGAUUGCGAAGGCAGCUUGCUAAGCUGUAACUGACGCUGAGGCACGAAAGCGUGGGGAGCAAACA